rnacentral:misc_RNA from 1 species
GCAAAAGCAAAGUAGAAGCAUCUCAACAAAUCAUACAACAAAAAUACAAUUGAGGGUUUAAGCAGCUCUAUAACUUUUUUCUAAGUACAGAAAGAACUGCUGGAAAACUACUACUUAAUUAAGGACUAUCAAAGACGAGCGAACAUGCAUCAAUUGCGGUGUUAAAUUUAGAAAACUCCCACUUCAUCCAUUUCAUCAUCAUCCUCUUCGUCAUCCCCCCAUCCCAUGAGUUCGAAACCUGGAUGGUGGUUCUGUAAAAAGAACUCAACAAUGCCAGCAUCAACCACAAGGUCAUCUGAUAGUGUUGGAGGAACAUUUGAGUCUUGAUGACUUCCAUUAGUCAAG